GACGCCAUUUUCUUUCCUCGCGUUUCGGAGCAUAUGAGGACGGGAAACAACACAAUAAAGGGUUUAAUCUUACGCACAAAAUGUGUUUUGUAAUAUCAUAUCGUUUUAUAACGAUAUUAAUGUGCUGUAUGCCGCUAAACUUUUCUCAAAGACAUUUUUUUCCACUCGCCAUGCGGAACAGAGCAGAGCGCUGUGCAAUUAAUGUUACUAAUGAACUUUUUCUCAGAGAGAUAACGUUAUUUCCUUUCACUCGUGAUCCGGAGCAGGCAGGCCUGUUGGUUUUAUCAAGGAAAACACAGAAAAUCUGAAUUGCUAUGCAGUGCUGAAGUGGAGGUUGCUUUUAACAGGGAAACACUUGAAAGAGAUAUUUUCUUUCAAUCACAAUGUGGAGCAGACGGGAAAGUUGGUUUUAUCAAGGAAAAUGCCAAAAAUCUGAAUUGCUAUGCAGUGCUGAGGUGGAGGUUGCUUUUAAAAGGGAAACACUAGAAUCUGGAGCGGUAGGAGUUACCAUGGAAACUGGGUGGAAACUCAACUGUCCAGCAGCAAAACACAUCUUCCACUGUUGUUUUCACAAAUUUCAGAAAUGGUUUAUUGUCUUCAGAAAAAGUCUGUUAGCAUCUGAACUGUAAUGCUAACUAUAAGAGGUUUUGCAGGCAAUUUGUCAUUGGAUGAAAGCAGUUUCAGAAAAAAACUCCUACGACACAGAAAAAGUUCCUGAUUUUAAAAUUUCCGAAGAGAGCUGCUGACAGACAUAUAAAAAACACAGGUGAUCUGAAAAAGCAUAUUAAAUUACUUUAUAUGUAUCUUUCAUAAUAUAUUUAGCCUAUAUCACCACGCAUCUGUAAUUUUCUUUUGCAAAAUUAUAUAUAUCUAUAUACUUUUAUGUUUGUUUGCUUGUUAGAUAUUUUAAAAGGACUUUAACAUACAAA